rnacentral:rRNA from 1 species
UAGGGAAUCUUCGGCAAUGGGGGCAACCCUGACCGAGCAACGCCGCGUGAGUGAAGAAGGUUUUCGGAUCGUAAAGCUCUGUUGUAAGAGAAGAACGUGUGUGAGAGUGGAAAGUUCACACAGUGACGGUAACUUACCAGAAAGGGACGGCUAACUACGUGCCAGCAGCCGUGGUAAUACGUAGGUCCCGAGCGUUGUCCGGAUUUAUUGGGCGUAAAGCGAGCGCAGGCGGUUUAAUAAGUCUGAAGUUAAAGGCAGUGGCUUAACCAUUGUUCGCUUUGGAAACUGUUAAACUUGAGUGCAGAAGGGGAGGGUGGAAAUCCAUGUGUAGCGGUGAAAUGCGUAGAUAUAUGGAGGAACACCGGUGGCGAAAGCGGCUCUCUGGUCUGUAACUGACGCUGAGGCUCGAAAGCGUGGGGAGCAAACAGG